AGUGAACGCUGGCGGUAGGCCUAACACAUGCAAGUCGAACGGCAGCACAGUAAGAGCUUGCUCUUACGGGUGGCGAGUGGCGGACGGGUGAGGAAUACAUCGGAAUCUACUUUUUCGUGGGGGAUAACGUAGGGAAACUUACCCUAAUACCGCAUACUACCUACGGGUGAAAGCAGGGGAUCUUCGGACCUUGCGCGAUUGAAUGAGCCGAUGUCGGAUGAGCUAGUUGGCGGGGUACAGGCCCACCAAGGCGACGAUCCGUAGCUGGUCUGAGAGGAUGAAUAGACAGAUGGUCAGAGAGACACGGCCGCGACUCUGGGGGGAGGCAGCAGUGGGGAAUCUUACGGAAGGGGGGAAAGGGGGAUCUAGCAAUACCGCGUGAGGGAUGAAGGCGUUCGGCUUGGAAAGCCCUGUUGGUGGGAAAGAAAAAAAGCAGGUUUAUACGGGGCUGUACUGACGGUACCGAAAGAAUAAGCACCGGCUAACUACGUG
rnacentral:rRNA from 1 species